rnacentral:rRNA from 1 species
UGAGUAACACGUGAAUCAUCUACCUUCGAGUGGGGAAUAACUGAGAGAAAUCUCAGCUAAUACCGCAUAAUACCUACGGGUCAAAGCAGCAAUGCGCUUGAAGAGGAGUUCGCGGCAGAUUAGUUAGUUGGCGGGGUAAUGGCCCACCAAGACGAUGAUCUGUAUCCGGCCUGAGAGGGCGCACGGACACACUGGAACUGAAACACGGCCCAG